rnacentral:rRNA from 1 species
AUUGAACGCUGGCGGCAGGCCUAACACAUGCAAGUCGAACGGUAACAGGAAGCAGCUUGCUGCUUCGCUGACGAGUCGCGGACGGGUGAGUAAUGUCUGGGCAGCUUCCUGAUGGAGGGCGUUAACUACUGGGAACUGUAACUACUACCGCAUAAUGUCGCAAGACCAAAGAGGGGGACCUUCGGGCCUCUUGCCAUCGGAUGUGCCCAGGUGGGAUUAGCUUGUUGGUGGGGUAACGGCCCACCAAGGCGACGAUCCCUAGCUGGUCUGAGAGGAUGACCAGUCACACUGGAACUGAGACACGGUCCAGACUCCUACGGGAGGCAGCAGUGGGGAAUAUUGCACAAAGGGCGCAAGCCUGAUGCAGCCAUGCCGCGUGUAUGAAGAAGGUCUUCGGGUUGUAAAGUACUUUCAGCGGGGAGGAAGGGAAGAAAGUUAAUACCUUGGCGUUUUGACGUUACCAGCAGAAGAAGCACCGGCUAACUCCGUG